UACGUAGGGUGCGAGCGUUACUCGGAAUUACUGGGCGUAAAGCGUGCGUAGGCGGUUGGCAAAGUCAGCUGUGAAAUCCCCGGGCUCAACCUGGGAACUGCAUCUGUGACUGCAUCGCUGGAGUGCGGCAGAGGGGGAUGGAAUUCCGCGUGUAGCAGUGAAAUGCGUAGAUAUGCGGAGGAACACCGAUGGCGAAGGCAAUCCCCUGGGCCUGCACUGACGCUCAUGCACGAAAGCGUGGGGAGCAAACAGG
rnacentral:rRNA from 1 species